UAUUAAAUUAGCCAAUCAUUAAAUCAUCAUAAAGGGGUUAUGGGGAUGGGCACAAUCGUUUGUCAAACAUGUAAUUCAACAAUCGGGCAUUUUGAAGACGAGAAAGUUACAACGCUUUACGGAAAAUGUACACAAUGUGAUCAUGAAGAAGUAGACGAACAAGAGUAAUACGGUUUUUA
rfam:Anoxybacillus amylolyticus strain DSM 15939, complete genome.